AACCAUGUGGCCUAAUGGAUAAGGCAUCUGACUUUGGAUCAGGAGAUUGGAGGUUUUAGUUCUUUGUGGGUUU
rnacentral:tRNA from 1 species